rnacentral:lncRNA from 1 species
CAUCUUGGCCAAUGCAGACACCAUUGUGGAUAACACAGGAAUCACCAAUUGUGCAAUUUGUAAGAGCAACAUUGUAUCUAUAAAGAAAAAUGAUAAAAAGAAUAUGAGAUGGAUACCUGAGAAUCUGAAACAUGUUAUAAUUAUUCAAAGACGAACGUUAGUACAUUACUGCAACUAUCUGUUGGUGGAACAAUAGAAUCUGACCCUAACUCAUAUUAGGUGUCUAGUCAUUUAGGCAAUGAAAAUCCUUUUACAAUGUGUAUGCUUGUGCCAAAUACAGUUAGUGCUGCAAACAAGUUGUGUUGUGUCUGCAGACCACCUGAGGCUUGACUCAGCAUGAGGCUCCAACUUGAAUUUUGAUGCACAAUAGAAUGAAUUAAGCUGUUGAAGUACAUACAAGGACAUGUUUGUCGCGCCCCACUUUUCGAUUCGAGUGGUGAAUGGUGUGUGAUGUGUGUGUGAAGUGUGGUGUGAACGUGUGCAAAAUGAAAAGUAAAAAGGCCAUGGGACUUUGGAAAGCGACGAUUUGGCCAAAUGAAAUUUUAAAAAGGGUUUUUUUAAAUAUGAAGACGGAGUCGCCACUUGGUAUAGAUUUGGGGUGUACCAAGUCACCCAAAAAUGAUUUUGUUUUUGAAUAAAAAAAGUAAAUAAACCCUUUUUGAGAACUUUUGGGUCUACGUAACCAAAAGAGGGAUCGGGGGUCACAUUUGACGAAGGGGAAGGCAAGGAUAAAAAUCCAAGGCACCCCUUCGACCUAGCCAAGGCUAGUUGCGUGACUUAAACCAAUUUUCCCUAAUUUUUCUACCCAAGGUAUGCAUCGCGUGUUUGGAUAUGUCUAUAUGAAUGCAAAAACCUAGACCUAGGGGGACAUGGGGGAAAUUUCUCUUCAAAGGUUGAGUGGUGCCAAUCACAUUAGUUGUGAAGCCCAAUAAUGAUCCUUUUGGAGAGGUCACACCUAAACCUAAAUGACGUGAAAAAUGAGUGGAAUGCAUGCCAUGUGAAAGUGUGAGUUUGUGUGAAGUGAGAAAAAUGAUAAAAGUAAUAAGGUAAGAGUGAAGGUGUGCAAAUGUAGAUGAAAGUACUCGUGUGCGAGUGAAGAUAAAAAUGCUCGUGUGCAAGUGAAGAUAAAAGGGUUCGUGUGCAAGUGGAGACAAGAAAAGUGUUCGUGUGCAAGUGAAGGCGAUAAAAAGGUGCAUGUGUGCAAAUGGGAGGAAAAAUGAAAGUGUAAUGAUAGAGUGGAUUGAGAAUGCCUGAGCCUAAGGAAUUCAUGCAUAUUGGGUACGGGGAGACCUAAAUCGUGACUUGAUUUUCCCUUUGAUUAGAAGGCGAAACUAGCGUGCUAAGGCUAUCGAGUAGCCACACUCGCUCGUUUCCCUUAUCGGAAGGGGACCCUCAAGCAAAUGGACCCUACAACUAUCAUGAUAUGCAAAAAUCCUAAAAUGAAGGGAAAGGGGGUUCGAGGAGCAUGCCAAGUGAUAAAACUAAGAAAAAUGCAUGAUAUG